rnacentral:rRNA from 1 species
AGCUGUCGAAGGUGGGACUGGCGAUUGGGACGAAGUCGUAACAAGGUAGCCGUACCGGAAGGUGCGGCUGGAUCACCUCCUUU